UACGUAGGGGGCAAGCGUUGUCCGGAUUUAUUGGGCGUAAAGAGCGUGUAGGCGGCCAUGUAUGUCCGUUGUGAAAACUCGAGGCUCAACCUCGAGACGCCGGUGGAAACCGUAAGGCUAGAGUCCGGAAGAGGAGAGUGGAAUUCCUGGUGUAGCGGUGAAAUGCGCAGAUAUCGGGAGGAACACCAGUAGCGAAGGCGGCGUCCUGGACCAACACUGACACUGAUGAGCGAAAGCCAGGGGAGCAAACGGG
rnacentral:rRNA from 1 species